rnacentral:rRNA from 1 species
AUUGGACGCUGGCGGCAUGCCUUACACAUGCAAGUCGAACGGUAACAGGUCUUCGGAUGCUGACGAGUGGCGAACGGGUGAGUAAUACAUCGGAACGUGCCCGAUCGUGGGGGAUAACGAGGCGAAAGCUUUGCUAAUACCGCAUACGAUCUACGGAUGAAAGCGGGGGAUCUUCGGACCUCGCGCGGACGGAGCGGCCGAUGGCAGAUUAGGUAGUUGGUGGGAUAAAAGCUUACCAAGCCGACGAUCUGUAGCUGGUCUGAGAGGAUGAUCAGCCACACUGGGACUGAGACACGGCCCAGACUCCUACGGGAGGCAGCAGUGGGGAAUUUUGGACAAUGGGCGAAAGCCUGAUCCAGCCAUGCCGCGUGCAGGAUGAAGGCCUUCGGGUUGUAAACUGCUUUUGUACGGAACGAAAAGCCUCUUUCUAAUAAAGAGGGGUCAUGACGGUACCGUAAGAAUAAGCACCGGCGAACUACGU